AUGUUUUGUACAUCACUAUUUCAAACAAAAACAAACAAAAAUCUGCGAAAAUGUAUGAAAAAUCUACAGGUGUCGCCUACGAGCGCAUCCAAGGGUAAGCAUGUCAGCACACGCCACAAGAGGAGAAUACAAAUAUCAUAGAGGCCCCGGCGCGGAUCCCUGAAGAUUUCAAAUUAAAUCAAUAGCAGUUUUUGAUAACCUCUCGUUAUAGGAUAAGUCUACAUAUCUCCUUGUCCAGGCGGUCCAAUUUUGGAAAAUUAAGUAGCAUCGCAUCUACUUCUGAGAAAGUGAAAGCCAGUCAGAAAAACGGAAAGCUCCUCGGCUAUUUUCAUAAUCAUAAUUCCUAAUACAUAUACAUAUGCACAUGCAUGCUUCAAGGAAAACACCAUCCUUCUGAAGUACUGAAGUCUGAAUAAACGUCGUUUUGCAGAUCAACUUGGUACACCUAUUGUCUCUUUCCUAGAGUCCUACCUCUUCCUCCAAUGGCAUAAAAAACACCGCCAAUUAUAUAGUUUCUUAUAGAACCUUUCGCUUUGCGGGGUGCUCUUGUCAUAGUGGAGUACUGGUAGAAGAAUAACUUCCGAUCCCGUGCAUACAUCUGUAACGAUUCCGUUGGGUCAUCAAAAAGUGAAGAUCUGUGUAGUUUCUUUUGGGCUGCAAUAACAUCGCUUUAAUUCACACGCUGUUGCUGAGCGUUGGCAUUAUUUUGUAUCUGUA